rnacentral:rRNA from 1 species
UACGUAGGGGGCAAGCGUUGUCCGGAAUCAUUGGGCGUAAAGCGCGCGUAGGUGGCCCGGUAAGUCCGCUCUGAAAGUCAAAGGCUCAACCUUUGAAAGCGGGUGGAUACUGUCGGGCUAGAGUCCGGAAGAGGCGAGUGGAAUUCCUGGUGUAGCGGUGGAAUGCGCAGAUAUCAGGAGGAACACCAACGGCGAAGGCAGCUCGCUGGGACGGUACUGACGCUGAGGCGCGAAAGCGUGGGGAGCAAACAGG